rnacentral:tRNA from 1 species
UAGAAAGUUAUGUAAUGAAGCAUGGAGGGCUUUGAUUCCUCAUGUAUAGGUUCGAGUCCUAUUUUUCUAG